AUUGAACGCUGGCGGCAGGCCUAACACAUGCAAGUCGAGCGGAUGAAGGGAGCUUGCUCCUGGAUUCAGCGGCGGACGGGUGAGUAAUGCCUAGGAAUCUGCCUGGUAGUGGGGGAUAACGUCCGGAAACGGGCGCUAAUACCGCAUACGUCCUGAGGGAGAAAGUGGGGGAUCUUCGGACCUCACGCUAUCAGAUGAGCCUAGGUCGGAUUAGCUAGUUGGUGGGGUAAAGGCCUACCAAGGCGACGAUCCGUAACUGGUCUGAGAGGAUGAUCAGUCACACUGGAACGGAGACCCGGUCCAGACCCCUACGGGAGGCAGCAGGGGGGAAUAUUGGACAAUGGGGGAAAGCCUGAUCCAGCCAUGCCGGGUGUGUGAAGAAGGUCUUCGGAUUGUAAAGCCUUUUAAGAUGGGGGGAAGGGCAGUAAGUUAAAACCUUGCUGUUUUGACGUUACCAACAAAAAAAGCCCCGGCUAACUUCGU
rnacentral:rRNA from 1 species